GGAAGUAAAAGUCGUAACAAGGUUUCCGUAGGUGAACCUGCGGAAGGAUCAUUACCGAGUGCGGGAACCCAGUCGGGUCCCAAUCUCCCACCCGUGUCUACCACACCUAGUGUUGCUUUGGCGGGCCCACUCCUCCGGUGUUCCGCCGGGGGGGUCGUCCCGGGGCGCGGUGUGCCCCCGGGGCCCGUGCCCGCCAGAGGCACUCACUGUGAACGCUUUUGUGAAUGCGAGGAUUGUCUGAGUGACGAAAUGCAAUCGUUCAAAACUUUCAACAAUGGAUCUCUUGGUUCCGGCAUCGAUGAAGAACGCAGCGAAAUGCGAUAAGUAAUGUGAAUUGCAGAAUUCCGUGAAUCAUCGAAUCUUUGAACGCACAUUGCGCCCUCUGGUAUUCCGGGGGGCAUGCCUGUCCGAGCGUCAUUGCGAACCCUCAAGCACGGCUUGUGUGUUGGGCCGCCGUCCCCUCGUUUGGAGGGGACGGGCCUGAAAGGCAGCGGCGGCGUCGCGUCCGGUCCUCGAGCGUAUGGGGCUCUGUCACGCGCUCAAGGAGGGGUCCGGCCGGGGCCAUAGCCUCUGAAGGUCAAUUCUUCCAAGGUUGACCUCGGAUCAGGUAGGAGUACCCGCUGAACUUAAGCAUAUCAAUAAGCGGAGGA
rnacentral:rRNA from 1 species